rnacentral:tRNA from 91 species
CGCGGGGUGGAGCAGCUCGGUAGCUCGCUGGGCUCAUAACCCAGAGGUCGCAGGUUCAAAUCCUGCCCCCGCUACCA